rnacentral:rRNA from 1 species
UACGUAGGGUGCAAGCGUUAAUCGGAAUUACUUGGCGUAAAGCGUGCGCAGGCGGUUGUGCAAGACCGAUGUGAAAGCCCCGGGCUUAACCUGGGAAUGGCAUUGGUGACUGCACGGCUAGAGUGUGUCAGAGGGGGGUAGAAUUCCACGUGUAGCAGUGAAAUGCGUAGAGAUGUGGAGGAAUACCGAUGGCGAAGGCAGCCCCCUGGGAUAACACUGACGCUCAUGCACGAAAGCGUGGGGAGCAAACAGG